UCUUUUCUAAUUUAUUAUUUUUUAUCUGCAGCAGUGAGCCUUAAAUAGCAAUUUUGAGGCAGGACUUGAAGCCCAGAUCUUCUCAAAGAGACCAGAAAUGGCUGGCUUGUGUUCACUCAGAACAUAAAGAACUGUGCCAAAUUCAAAGUCAGCGUGAGGAGCUAUAACUUUGCCAGCUUCAAUGAAAUGGAAUGUUAUUUUUGGACGUAGAACUAUGUGGAUUCCAAGGGGAAAAUGGAACAGAGCCAAUUCUGCGGUGAAAUGAGUGUAGAAGACAGCACGGUCACUGCAGUGUGUGACAGAGCUGGAGCUCCUGAAAGAGGCAAAGCACAGAAGACAGAGGAUACUGCUUUGGAGACUGCGAUGAAGGCUUUCUUGCUGCACUGGCUCAUAUGACAAUGAAGGAUGUGUUUUGGGGCCCCAUCAUGCAGAAAGAGAAGUGGUAUUAAGCUGAAGAGUAGGUGCUGUGCCCUCAAGCAAGAUUACUAUGAGACUGAGGCCUUGAUGAGCAUAUCUCCACUCCCUGUCUCCUUCCCAAGUACAACCCAGUGCCAUGCUUCUCUCCUGCUUUCUGUCCAGAUGCUAUUUUCCACAGAAAUGCUCCUCUUUCUUCUUGCUUAAGUUUGCAGUGAAUGGAUGUAAACCAAAAGGACAAAACAGUUAAUGAGUGUUUGCCGACGUUUGUUUUUUGUAAAGGUGGGAGAAAUAAAAUGUAGCCACACCAGUGAACUGCCUGGACGAGGCAUGCUUCCGUAAUUGCUUUGGAUGCACGCGCUGGUUCCUCAAGUCAACAGAGGAUCCCAGCAGAGCCAGAUGCCACAGGAUACACAGUAUGCCAAUGAGGUAUGGUAUGAAGAAUCAGCUGAGCAACUUUGGGAUAGCAGCACUAUUUAGGAAUGAAGUCUGAAAGGCCUCUCAAAUGGUGCUCAUGAGACCUCCAUCCUGGCAAUUAUUGUGUCUUCAGUUUAAGCUGUGUAUUUCUCACAAAUUAUGUUUAAGAAAUCAUAUUCAUAUUCUCAUGUUUAUUGGGGCUGCUUUUAGGUGUCUGCCUGCCUGUAAAACCAAGUGUUCUUAUGCCAGAAGUGCAAUGCAAGGGCAUCUUCAAGGGGACAGAUAACUAACAUGAUAACUAACCUCAAGAAAUGCCCAAAGUAACUGUCUACAAGUUAUAAACCUACAUAUUCAGGAAUUUGAUCUCUCUUAGCCUGGGACAUGGUACUUGUAUAAGCCUUGGUAAUGUGUUGAGAAAAGUGAACUCUGUGAUGAUUAAGAACUGUUAUUUUCUCUGUAUGUAGGUCAUGACUUGAACAGGGCUUGUCACUACUCAAAGAUUAAAUGUUAAUAUUCAGUCUUGUAGGUAAACUCUGUUUUUUCCACCCACGUGAAAAACACGUGUUCAUGUAAAUUUGUAGUUUUAAACAGUGGUUAUUUCGAUAACGGAUGUCUUUAAAAGAUGUCUGGUUCUAUAAAUCUCAACAAGAUUUAAAAAUCAAUCAAAGUCUGAAAACUAUAUACUCUCUGCAAACCUAAUGAAUGCGUGUCUCUGAGAAAUUUCAGCUUGCAUUAUAUUUUGAAUUAAUUGGCAAACAGUUACAUAAAGAGAUCAUAUUAAGGUCUCUGAAGAAGGAAGCUGGGUUAAGGAUGAGCUUUCAUCUUUUAAAUCUGCUUUUACUGACUUUUUAAAAGCUUGAUUUGUCAAGAUGUAGUUGACUCUACUGUUUUGUGUAUAGAUUUUCUUUCAUUGUUUUUCUUUUAAAUAAAGAGAGGGGGAAAAGCCAAUAUAACAUCAAAGCAUUAAAAUAAAGAGCUCUAAGGGAGGAAAAGAGAGAUGUUUAGAUUAGGUGAAUGAGGGAAGCAAAGGUGUGGGGGAGAUAUCAUGUAAAUAAAGACAUAGCAGUGAACUGCUCUAAUGAGACACAAGGCUAAUUAAAGAAAAGGAAUAGAUUUAAUUAUCCUCAGAUGUUUUACAAGGCAUCAGAAUGAGGCUAGCUGAAAUCUCAGUCCUGCUGUAAGUCCAAAUUCCUUUUUUCCUGUCUUUUCCUAUGAAGGAGCUCAGAUCCCGCCUGAGAUCUGGCCUCACGAAUCGUGUACUGUUUUCCUUCUGGUGACACUGUUUCGAGAGGUAUGGUGUGUAUUGUUUUCCUGGCCCUGCUUUCCACCUGAUGUUGAGGCAAAUGUAUCAGAGACCUGGGUUGCAAACAACUUGCAGCCUCUGCUCUGCCCACUUCUUCCUGGAUGUUCCCUAUUUUGGGACUCAACUUGUGGGCCAUAGUACCAUUCCCUGUAAAUCUGAGCCCACUUCAGAAGAAAGUGCAUGUUCCUUGACCCAUCCUGGGUCAUCCUUGCUAUCCUGGGUGGAGAUAGCAGCUGGGACCUCAUCUGUAUCUCUCAGGCUAUGCACUAGCCUAAAUGGAUGUUGUUCCUUGAGUACCCUGAGGAAAGGAUAGAGAAUAAAUGGAAAUGCGAGUUGUUUGAACUGUGCUGAAUAAAGGUGACAAGGUUGCUGUUCUACGCAUAAGAUGCAAAAGAUUCAUCAGUCAAAUUCAGAGGCAUCUAGCUCUGCCUAUCACAGAACCUCGGCAUGUACUGUAAAGCUGUAGGGUCUCUGGGGAUGAGGUGCCUGAAUAUUAGGCUUUGCAGCCCCUAACUCAUCAGUGCCUAAAUGCUUCAAUGGCUCAAAUGUGCAAGUCCGAGAACCUAUGAGGGCUUGGUCCUCCCCUCCUGAAAAGGAAACAGUUUUCUGAAAACCAGGCACUUUCGCAUUGCAGGCUAGGCCUGGCUGGGAAUAUGUGUGUUUGCAACACAGAGGCACAGGGACUGCUUCUGUAGAAGGCAGUGACAACCCCUCUGUUGCCUUCUGUGGUCCAGAUCACUGUUGACCUGCUCUGUUAUCAUCAAAAAGAAAUAAAUCUAUGACAAGUUCAGCUUUCAGACAAGAUGCUUUUUUCCCCUCUUCACCCCCUCCUCCUUCCAUUCCUCUUGUCCUCCAAAGAAAACUUGUGCCUGCUCACCUCUUUUGCUGCCUUGGCACUGUAUUAGAAUACUUGCAGCAAAAGGAAAGAAAGGAAAAUCCUGAAAGCCAUGUUUUUUCCCUGUAAGUUGGCACCAUUGCUUCAGCUUUCAUCAGCGGGAGCAGCGUGCCAAUCUCACGCCAGCACAAACAGAUGUGACUCUAGAGCUUUGAGUGUCCAAUGAAAGAAGCAUUACUUGCAGAACUAUGCUCUGAAAGCGGCCAAAUUCACUGGCCUUAGGAUUUUCCAUUGAGACGGACAGUUUCUCAGAGCUUUGCUUCAAGGUGCCUGGGUUUUGGGUUUACUUAUUUAUUUAUUUUCCCUUUCUUUAUGUGCUGACAUUAUUCCAACAUUCAGCAUACGAUUUCUGUUUCAUAAGAAUGUUAUCAGACCAGGGUAAGUGCAUGGGAAAGCUGUUUGCUGCUCUCUGAAAACUGCUAUAUACAUAAUGCAGGACUGUAUAUAUAGAUGGGAUGAAAUGUAUUCCACAUGCAUUGGGAGCUCACGUGUAUUGAGAAUUUGUUCAACAGAUAAACUGUAUUUUAAU